rnacentral:lncRNA from 1 species
UAAAGGUUGAAAGCCUGAAACCAACCGCAAACCCUUUCCCAAUUCCAAAAUUUCCAUUCGAAGCAAAAGUAGCAGCUGCGCUUGCAAUUUGUGCGAAGUUCGAACUGCGAAUGAUGGUCACUACUUUGCUGCUAGCUCUUGCUGCUGACGCGACACCACGGGCGAGGCGUCGAGGAAGAGGAUAAGGAGUCGUCGUCAAUGACGUUUUUAUUCGAGCAGUCUACAGGUGACUGGUGAGCGUACAUUUCUCUUAUUCUCUUUCUCUAUUGUUUUUUUGAUUUUGUUAAGGAAACAAAAUAUUUCACUGAAAUAGGAUUAAUUAUUUGGAGUUAAGUAAUUGUAAUAAGAGUUUGAUGUGUAUAACAGUACAAGGAAAGAGAAAUAAAGAAGUGAAAGAGAGAGGGACUGUAAAGGAUUGACGACGUGGAAGUUGGAACUAUGUUAUUGGUUUUGAAUUUGCUUACUGAAUUUUUAUAUUGGAUUGGACUCUAAUGCAAAAUGAAUUCUACCUUUGAAGCUUAAAAUUACUAAUUAAUACACGAAAUUAGAACAAUAAUAGAUUUAAUUUGUGUUAUUAAAUUUCAAUUACUUUCAAAUUUCACUUGAGUCGUUGAAUGUUGAGUGUUGAC